UGGGGAAUAUUGGACAAUGGGCGAAAGCCUGAUCCAGCAAUGCCGCGUGAGUGAUGAAGGCCUUAGGGUUGUAAAGCUCUUUUUACCAGGGAUGAUAAUGACAGUACCUGGAGAAUAAGCUCCGGCUAACUCCGUGCCAGCAGCCGCGGUAAUACGGAGGGAGCUAGCGUUGUUCGGAAUUACUGGGCGUAAAGCGUACGUAGGCGGUGACUCAAGUCAGAGGUGAAAGCCUGGAGCUCAACUCCAGAACUGCCUUUGAAACUAGGUCGCUAGAAUCACGGAGAGGUGAGUGGAAUUCCGAGUGUAGAGGUGAAAUUCGUAGAUAUUCGGAAGAACACCAGUGGCGAAGGCGGCUCACUGGACGUGUAUUGACGCUGAGGUACGAAAGCGUGGGGAGCAAACAGGAUUAGAUACCCGUGUAGUCCCUGAGCGGGCUGGCAAGGCGCAU
rnacentral:rRNA from 1 species